GUGGGGAAUAUUGGACAAUGGGCGAAAGCCUGAUCCAGCCAUGCCGCGUGUGUGAAGAAGGUCUUCGGGUUGUAAAGCACUUUAAGUUGGGAGGAAGGGCAGUAAGUUAAUACCUUGCUGUUUUGACGUUACCGACAGAAUAAGCACCGGCUAACUUCGUGCCAGCAGCCGCGGUAAUACGAAGGGUGCAAGCGUUAAUCGGAAUUACUGGGCGUAAAGCGCGCGUAGGUGGUUCAGCAAGUUGAAGGUGAAAUCCCCGGGCUCAACCUGGGAACUGCCUCCAAAACUACUGAGCUAGAGUACGGUAGAGGGUAGUGGAAUUUCCUGUGUAGCGGUGAAAUGCGUAGAUAUAGGAAGGAACACCAGUGGCGAAGGCGACUACCUGGACUGAUACUGACACUGAGGUGCGAAAGCGUGGGGAGCAAACAGGAUUAGAAACCCGAGUAGUCC
rnacentral:rRNA from 1 species